UACGGAGGGUGCAAACGUUGCUCGGAAUCAUUGGGCGUAAAGCGCACGUAGGCGGACUGUUAAGUCGGAUGUGAAAUCCCUCAGCUUAACUGAGGAAGUGCAUUCGAAACUGGCAGUCUUGAGUAUGGAAGAGGGUCGCGGAAUUCCCGGUGUAGAGGUGAAAUUCGUAGAUAUCGGGAGGAACACCAGUGGCGAAGGCGGCGACCUGGGCCAAUACUGACGCUGAGGUGCGAAAGCGUGGGGAGCAAACAGG
rnacentral:rRNA from 1 species